CAGUAGCCGCGGUAAUACGUAGGGUGCAAGCGUUAAUCGGAAUUACUGGGCGUAAAGCGUGCGCAGGCGGUUCCGCAAGUCAGAUGUGAAAUCCCCGGGCUCAACCUGGGAACUACAUUUGAAACUACGGGGCUAGAGUGUGUCAGAGGGGGGUGGAAUUCCACGUGUAGCAGUGGAAUGCGUAGAGAUGUGGAGGAACACCAAUGGCGAAGGCAGCCCCCUGGGAUGACACUGACGCCCAUGCACGAAAGCGUGGGGAGCAAACAGGAUUAGAUACCCGAGUAGUCCCUGUCUCUUAUAC
rnacentral:rRNA from 1 species